rnacentral:rRNA from 1 species
AACUUCUGAAUGUUGACCUCGGAUCAGGUAGGAAUACCCGCUGAACUUAAGCAUAUCAAUAAGCGGAGGAAAAGAACCAACAGGGAUUGCCCUAGUAACGGCGAGUGAAGCGGCAACAGCUCAAAUUUGAAAUCUGGCUCUCGGGCCCGAGUUGUAAUUUGUAGAGGAUGACUUUGAUGCGGUGCCUUCCGAGUUCCCUGGAACGGGACGCCAUAGAGGGUGAGAGCCCCGUCUGGUUGGAUGCCAAAUCUCUGUAAGUCUCCUUCGACGAGUCGAGUAGUUUGGGAAUGCUGCUCUAAAUGGGAGGUAUAUGUCUUCUAAAGCUAAAUACCGGCCAGAGACCGAUAGCGCACAAGUAGAGUGAUCGAAAGAUGAAAAGCACUUUGAAAAGAGAGUUAAAAAGUACGUGAAAUUGUUGAAAGGGAAGCGUUUAUGACCAGACUUGGGCUUGGUUAAUCAUCUGGGGUUCUCCCCAGUGCACUUUUCCAGUUCAGGCCAGCAUCAGUUUUCGCCGGGGGAUAAAGACUUCGGGAAUGUGGCUCCUCUCGGGGAGUGUUAUAGCCCGUUGUGUAAUACCCUGGCGGGGACUGAGGUUCGCGCUUCUGCAAGGAUGCUGGCGUAAUGGUCAUCAACGACCCGUCUUGAAACACGGACCAAGG